ensembl:lncRNA LOC103690810 uncharacterized LOC103690810
CCGAUCAGCUCUCCUUGGGAAUGUGAAAUAAGAGAUGCAGAGGGAUGUUGCCAGUUAGUUGUGGGGAGCUAAGCUGAGAGGUCCAGUACACCAAGAUGCUGGUUGGGUUGGGAGUGCUAUGGACUAGGUCAAGUGCCUGUUGAACAGCUAAAUGUAGUUGGCCAAGCAAGGACAUGGGGCAGUUGUGCAGAGAGAAGCAGGCUUGUGACGUGGAUGAGCCAUAUGAACGACAGACCUCUAGAGCAGAGAGGUUCAUGCUACAGCUAGACAUUUCCUCAAGCUCCAGGUACAAUGAGCUCUAUUUGAAUUCCUACCCUUGGAUUUCUGCUUCCUGAUCUUGCUUCAUUUGGUUUCUGUUUCUUGCAUCCAAAAGAGGCCCAACCCAAGCAACCCUUUCCAUAGAUUCCAUUUAAUUUGUGCUUCAUCCCCUCAGAGCACUUCUUGUACAAUUAGAAGGAAUUUGCACUCUGAUGCCAAGUGGACUGUUCUAAGCAUCUGAGUUAGGAAAAUGGCUGUACUCUAAGUAAUCCAACAAUGACUGCCUAUGUGUGGAAAGUCUAAUAUUCCAGUAGUUGUUCAUUCUUCAAUGCUGGGUCUCUCCGCUGGUAUAUAUCAGUAUAUAUAAAAAGUAUAUACCAGAAUCCAAAAGGAAGACUUGCUAGCGAGGAUGGAAGGAAGCAGGCAAAGAGAGUGAGUUUUCCUAUUCCCUGAUAGGUAUUGUAACAUGUUGUUGUUAACAAUUAGCUCUCUAACUGUAAUUAAGGCCAGCUCAACAGGAGGGAAGUCAUGCCUGCUAUUAAUUACUUGAAGCUAGUGAUGUCAGGGAUAUUAGAGCACAACCUACUACUGCCUUACUAAGCCAGCAACCAUUCCUAACUGCAUUCUAACUAUUCAUCUGUAUAUGCAUAGAGAUGUGUAGUUUUCACCCCUUGUUUUAGUCAGUGUUCUACUGUGAAAAGAUAGUAUGACCGUGGCGACUCUAAUGUAGAAAAACAUUUAAUUGGAGCUGGCUGACAUACAGUUUCAGAGGUUUAAUCCAUUAUCAUCAUGGUGGGGAGCAUGGUGGUGUAUAGGCAAACAUGGUGCUGGAGGGGAUGCUCAGAGUUCUACUUCCUGACCAGCAGGCAGCAGGGAAAGAGAGAGAUAGAGAUAGAGAUAGAUAGCUAGAUAGCUAGAUAGCUAGCUAGAUCAAUAGAUAGAUAGAGACAGAGACAGCGAGACAGAGAUAGAGAGACAGAGACACAGAGACAGAGAUAGAGAGACAGAGACACAGAGAGAAAGAGAGACAGAGACAUAGAGACAGAGACAGACAGACAUAGAACCUGGCUUGAGCAUUUGAAACCCAAAAGCCCACCCUCAGUGACACACCUACCACAACAAGGCCACACUUACUCCAACAAGGCUACACUUACUGAUUCCUGUCAAGAAACACUGCUCCCUAAUGACCAAGUAUUCAAAUCUGUAAUCUUGUAGGGGCUAUUCUUACUCAAACCACCACAUGCCUUAUCAAGGAAACUUCCUUUUACAACAGAAGGAAAUCAUUACAGAAAACCAUAACUGAUCAAAAUACAGAAAACAAGUGAUUAUGGGAUACCUGGCCCCAAUUGAUAUAUCUACAACAGAACUCCUACAUCGAAGGCUUAGGGACCAUUGCAGAAGAGAGCCAGAGAACCAGAAAACAUGCUUUUAGAAAGGACAGGGAAGCUUUACCCAUGAUACCUCAACAAUAUGGCUUCCCAAACAAGCUCUGAACAAGUACACCACCAAUAGACAUGCUAAUACGGAAGUGGGAAAUAUCAUGGGGCCCUAUCCCUGGGACAACCAAGAACUGCUAAGGGCAAGAGAAAUGGUCUUCUCCAAGGAUGAGCUCCCUAAUUGGUUAUCCAACACUGAGUGAUCAGCCCUGAAAUUCUAUAUAUAUAAGUAACAAUCAACAGAAUGUGCAGGUUGGAUUUAUAUAUUUUGGCAUUUAUAUACAUCUAUAACCGUGACGAUCAAUGAAAGAGAUGGAGCAAGGUGAGUAUAUGGGAAGGAUUGGAAGAAGAAACAG